rnacentral:rRNA from 1 species
AGAGUUUGAUCCUGGCUCAGGACGAACGCUGGCGGCGUGCUUAACACAUGCAAGUCGAACGGGCCCGCCCCUGUUUUUGGGGGUGGGUUGAGUGGCGAACGGGUGAGUAUCACGUGAGUAACCUGCCCCCUGCUCCUGGAUAACUGCUUGAAAGGGCGGCUAAUACGGGGUGUGCCGGCUGGUCCGCAUGGGCCUGGUCGGGAUAGUUUCAUCUUCGGGUGUUUCGGUGGGGGAUGGGCUCGCGGCCUAUCAGCUUGUUGGUGGGGUGAUGGCCCACCAAGGCGGUGACGGGUAGCCGGCCUGAGAGGGUGGGCGGCCACACUGGGACUGAGACACGGCCCAGACUCCUGCGGGAGGCAGCAGUGGGGGGUAUUGCACAAUGGGCGGAAGCCUGAUGCAGCGACGUCGCGUGAGGGAUGGAGGCCUUCGGGUUGUGAACCUCUUUCUCCGGUGGUGAAGGCCCUGUCCGUUGCGGCGGGGUUGACGGUAGCCGGGUAUGAAGCGCCGGCUAACUACGUGCCAGCAGCCGCGGUAAUACGUAGGGCGCGAGCGUUGUCCGGAAUUAUUGGGCGUAAAGGGCUUGUAGGCGGCUGGUCGCGUCUGCCGUGAAAUCCUCUGGCUCAGCUGGGGGCGUGCGGUGGGUACGGGCCGGCUUGAGUGCGGUAGGGGAGGCUGGAACUCCUGGUGUAGCGGUGGAAUGCGCAGAUAUCAGGAGGAACACCGGUGGCGAAGGCGGGUCUCUGGGCCGUUACUGACGCUGAGGAGCGAAAGCGUGGGGAGCGAACAGGAUUAGAUACCCUGGUAGUCCACGCCGUAAACGUUGGGCACUAGGUGUGGGGGGCCUCUUCCGGGUCGUCCGCGCCGUAGCUAACGCAUUAAGUGCCCCGCCUGGGGAGUACGGCCGCAAGGCUAAAACUCAAAGGAAUUGACGGGGGC